GGAUCUCAAGUAAAGCAGAUGCAGGACUUUCUAAAGAGCGCACAGAGUAUUAUAUGCAAUGAGGUGCGCAGAUUAACACCUUUACUGAAAAAUGCUGGACUGCUAGUUCAUCUGAAGGACAGUUACAGCCGUCACCUCUUUACCAACCUGGACCUGCUACUAAACAGAGAUCUGUCUGUAAAACAGAUCUUCUGCCUUAUUAUGUGGGAAAAAGAUGUUUUCUUCAGUCCAGACUCAAAACUGAGUGUGUACGACCCUUCGCUGCUGACAGGAAGGUUUGAGAGAGCAAAGCAGAAACUGCUUCAAGUACUUCAGGUAUGUGGAUGCUAAGAACAAACGUCUAUAAAAAACAAACGUUUACAGAGACAAACUCUGUGUAUCUGUUUCGGAUAAUCAACACCUGCAUGCAACUCAGGGCACCCUUAUUUUAACAGUCAACCUUUUUGAAUCAAUGAAUCAGUGACAUUAACAAUGAUGGCAGAAGAUUUUUAAAUGAAAAAAUAACGUUGGUUGAGUGAGUUUAACGAAAUUUCAACCAAGGGGGGCCUUUAAUUGGUCCGUGCCCAGGGCACCGCUGUGUCAUAAUCCGUCCCUGACUUACCGUCUGGAAUUUCAUCAUGGUUUGCUGCAACUGUUUCUAUUUAUAACCCUCAAACUGGAACGAGCUCAGCGACUCCUAGUGGUGUCACGACCCGGGGUUGGGAACCACUGGGGAAAAUCCUUGUGUAGAAUAAAACAGCUUUUCUAGGUCACUGUUAUAACUAGAGUCACUAUACGGUGAGUGUAUUAUUUUAAAAAUAUUUGUGCUAAGUUGUCCUUUUCCUAUCUGGAAUGAAAAUAUUUUACCUGUAGAUGUUGUGCUACACAAAUCAGUCCAAAUACAAACAGCAGAGAUGUCUCCUCAAGCACUAUAUGCAUGCUACAGAAACUGGAAGACAAUGCUUCAUCCAUUGUACGAAAGCUCAUGAAAUGCUUAGCACAGGUCAUUGUGAAAAUAGCUUACGACAGUGUUUCCAAAGUGUACCUGGAAUGCUUGAUGAAGACAAAUGUCAGAAAGCUAGAGAUGCUUUGGGGAAAUGCUGAGGAAAAGAUAAAAGAGGAUGUUCAACAUUUUCACCAAAUAUUCUCUGACCUGAAUGGCAUUGCUGCCCAGGAGAGCUCCUUCAGAGAAUGAGUGUUUUGCUUUACAGUCAUGUAAAAACGAAGGACGUUACCAAUGCUUUGUUCAAAGACUUCCCUCAGGAGAGUGAGCAGUAUGUACCUGGUCUGCUGCGCUGGAAGGGUGUGUUAUCAGAGCAACAGGUGAAGGAAGUGCUGGAUGAGAUUCGGGAACCCUGCCAAAAUCCAGAUCCUACACAUGUCACCUGUUUUCUUCUGAAGGGACUUUUUUGUUGUAAAUAGCUUGAGGUCAGAGGUCAGUAAAAGUAAGCUAUGGAGAAUGUUCUCUGAACAUUGUGCUAUUUAUAUUUUCAAGCAUUCAGAUCUGAUGUUAAUUUUUAAAAUAUGUCCUAAAUCUUUUUUGUUCACACCUGUCUAAAACAAACUGUUGGUGUUCCGAACAAAGUGAAAAUACAGGUGAAUUGGAAACAAUUACUCUGUAAAGACUGACAUUUGAAAUAAUAGUUAGAACAAUUUUUUUUUU
ensembl:lncRNA